AACUUUCGACAAUGGAUCUCUUGGCUCUCGCAUCGAUGAAGAACGCAGCGAAAUGCGAUACGUAAUGUUAAUUGCAGAAUUCAGUGAAUCAUCGAAUCUUUGAACGCACCUUGCGCCCCUUGGUAUUCCGAGGGGCACACCCGUUUGAGUGUCGUGAAAAUCUCAACCUUCUCGGUUUCUUCUGGACACCGAAGGAGGCUUGGACUUUGGAGGCCUUUGCUGGCGUCUCUCGCCAGCUCCUCUCAAAUGAAUUAGUGGGGUGCUCUUUGCCGAUCCUCGACAUGUCAUAAGAUGUUUCCAUGUCUUGGUUUAUGGCUCUGUUGCUUUUGGGACCCGCUUCUAACCUUCUCAACGAGACAACGUUCGAGCGUGUCGAACACUCUUGAACCCACGUACCCUUGACCUCAAAUCGGGUGAGACUACCCGCUGAACUUAAGCAUAUCAAUAAGCGGAGGCU
rnacentral:misc_RNA from 1 species